ensembl:lncRNA
GAAAGACAUGCAUUUAAGACGUGAAAAUUAUUUUUCUGCUUAAAAGUGCAAGUGAGUAGUUAAAGUUGGUGAUCAAACUAGUUGAUGAUCAGUGCAGAUGUGUGUUGAAAUGUUUGGCCAGAAAGAUGUUCCGCCCCUCUUCUGUUUUCUUUAUAAAGACCUAAAGUGCCAAUGACUGCAUUUCAUCAGACCAGCAUCUGUGCAAAGCUUACAAAAAUGGUAAGUUUCAUAAUGCUACUGAUCAAUAUAGAAUUCAUAUUUAAACAUUUACUGUUGUGUACUGUUUUUUUUUUUUUUUCCUGUAAUAAGUUCCUAGUUAUAUCUUUACAGAAAUCUUUGGCUCUGGUUUUGGUAUUUUGUGCCUUUGUCUCUUUAAGUGAUUCUGCCUGCUCCAUCACACCUCUAAACCAAGGGGCAAGAUUUUGUGUCGAUCGCUAUGAUAAAUCCAGGCAUCCAAUGGGAAGUACUUGGACAAACAGCAAAUGUAUCAGAUGUACCUGCUCCCCUGGGCAAAUGGGAUGCUGUGACGUGAUGGGCCGAGUGACUAACCUAUCUCAAGGCUGCAUUGUGAAGUAUGAUUACAAAAAAUGCACAUUUGACGUCUUUAAUCCAACUAACCCCAACAUUAAGUGUUCUUAUGGUGCUGUUGGAAAAUAAUUUUCAAUGAUUGAGUAAUGUGUCCUUUUUGGAUUAAAAUGAAUACCAAUCAAUUUUUGGAAAAAAACUAACAUAUUUUGCCAGUUUUACUCAAUAAAAUUGAGGCAACUCCUUGCA